rnacentral:rRNA from 1 species
CCUGGCUCAGGAUGAACGCUGGCGGUCGUGCCUAACACAUGCAAGUCGAGCGGUAUAUGGUGGAAUGAAACUUCGGUCGAGUGAAGCCAUAGAGAGCGGCGGACGGGUGAGUAACGCGUAGGCAACCUGCCCCAUACAGAGGGAUAGCCUCGGGAAACCGGGAUUAAAACCUCAUAACGCGAGGAGUUCACAUGGACUUCUCGCCUAAAAGAUUCAUCGGUAUGGGAUGGGCCUGCGUCUGAUUAGCUAGUUGGUGAGGUAACGGCUCACCAAGGCGACGAUCAGUAGCCGACCUGAGAGGGUAAUCGGCCACAUUGGAACUGAGACACGGUCCAAACUCCUACGGGAGGCAGCAGUGGGGAAUAUUGCACAAUGGGCGAAAGCCUGAUGCAGCAACGCCGCGUGAGCGAUGAAGGCCUUUGGGUCGUAAAGCUCUGUCCUUGGGGAAGAAACAAAUGACGGUACCCUUGGAGGAAGCCCCGGCUAACUACGUGCCAGCAGCCGCGGUAA